rnacentral:rRNA from 1 species
UACAGAGGGCCCAAGCGUUGUUCGGAUUCACUGGGCGUAAAGGGUGCGUAGGCGGUCGGGUAAGUCUGACGUGAAAUCUUCAAGCUCAACUUGGAAACUGCGUCCGAUACUAUUCGGCUAGAGGAAUGGAGGGGAGACUGGAAUACUUGGUGUAGCAGUGAAAUGCGUAGAUAUCAAGUGGAACACCAGUGGCGAAGGCGAGUCUCUGGACAUUUCCUGACGCUGAGGCACGAAAGCCAGGGGAGCAAACGGG